UCCAUAUUAACUAGUCAUGCAAUCCCCGUGACACUUGAUCAUCAUGAACAUGCACAAAUGAAGACUGGACCUGGGGACCAAGCAAUGAAGAUGUUGUAAGGCUUGCCGAUCGGACUUCUCUGUGAGAAGGACCAUUUGGGGACACGUGGAUUUGGCAAAGAAACUCAGGAAGGCAGGCUCUGCCUCGGCAGGGAAGCGGCAGACCUGCAGCAGCCAGGAUGUCUCUUCUGGAAGCAUGGUGGUGCCCGGUAAACAGUCGCCUUCAGGAUUGGCCCAGGACGUGUGUUUGGUGGGAAGACGCGGUGGUUAGGAAAACGUCCUUGAGAGGGGUGCUUUAGAUUGUUAUCCAGUUCUCAAGAAGACGCCAUGGCCAUCUUGUGGUCCCAGCAUCAGCGUGAGGAAGUUGUGUCCUGAGCCUAAUCUCAGUAGUCCUCAGCCCCCGGUACUGCAGACAGACCACUGGCGUUUGUCCAGUCUCCCUCAAUGGAGAGAAUAAAGAGUGAAUCAUGA